UACGUAGGGGGCGAGCGUUGUCCGGAUUUAUUGGGCGUAAAGAGUUCGUAGGCGGUGUGUCGCGUCGGCCGUGAAAACCUGGGGCUUAACUCUGGGCGUGCGGUCGAUACGGGCAUCACUAGAGUUCGGCAGGGGAGACUGGAAUUCCUGGUGUAGCGGUGAAAUGCGCAGAUAUCAGGAGGAACACCGGUGGCGAAGGCGGGUCUCUGGGCCGAUACUGACGCUGAGGAGCGAAAGCAUGGGUAGCGAACAGG
rnacentral:rRNA from 1 species